AGUGAACGCUGGCGGUAGGCCUAACACAUGCAAGUCGAACGGCAGCACAGUAAGAGCUUGCUCUUACGGGUGGCGAGUGGCGGACGGGUGAGGAAUACAUCGGAAUCUACUUUUUCGUGGGGGAUAACGUAGGGAAACUUACGCUAAUACCGCAUACGACCUACGGGUGAAAGCAGGGGAUCUUCGGACCUUGCGCGAUUGAAUGAGCCGAUGUCGGAUUAGCUAGUUGGCGGGGUAAAGGCCCACCAAGGCGACGAUCCGUAGCUGGUCUGAGAGGAUGGUCAGCCACACUGGAACUUGAGCACGGGCCAGGCUCCUACGGGAAGCAGCAGUGGGGAAUAUUGGACAAAGGGCGCAAGCCUGAUCCCGCCAUACCGCGGGGGUGAAGAAGGCCUUCGGGUUGUAAAGCCCUUUUGUUGGGAAAGAAAAGCAGCAGGUUAAUACCCCGCUGUUCUGACGGUACCCAAAGAAUAAGCACCGGCUAACUUCGU
rnacentral:rRNA from 1 species